rnacentral:lncRNA from 1 species
GCAAAGACAGAGCUGGCUCAGUGGCCUAAAUAUGAAAUCAUCAAUGAUGCUGGACCAAAGGGAGUCCAGGUAUCACCGAGAUGCCAAACAGAAGGGUACCUCCACAUUCAUGGUGGAGCACAUCAUCGACUCUUCACCAGCUACCUGCAUGUUAAGGAAGAUAUUAUCUGGAGUGCUCUACAUAUGGCAAACACCAAUGUGUGCUGAUUAUCGAGAUCAGCUGGACAAGCAGUGAGAACCCUGCUCAUUAGGCCACAAGAGUAAUCCCGAGGGGAUAAUUGCUGAGAAGGCUUACGGUUUACUGACCUGCUGGGGUGCACGGAGAAUUAUUGACUCAGACCUAAUUAAAUUGUUGCCUGCUGCUUUUUUGAAAUUCUGCCAGGGAAUCCUUGCUGUCCUUAGCAGAGUCUUUCAGUUGGAGGCUGUGGCUGAACUGUACCAAGGGCGUUUUAUGGUAAGUACUUGC